rnacentral:lncRNA from 1 species
GUAUCACACUUAAGUAGCUUCUUCAUAUCUAUCUUGGCUUUUACGGCAGUGCAACCGAGUCAUGCCAUACAACUUCAAAUGCCGUGCUUUAGACAAUUUAAAAAUAAUAUCAAGUCACUUUCGGAUUCUCGCAGCAACAGCAACCAGUUCGUUGCUUCUUCGGUCAAGCACUCUACUACAAAUGAUUAAUUGCAACAGAAAGUAAUUGCAGAAGCGCCUCAAAGCGACAAUUUUUUUUUUUUUUUUUCUGAGAGAGAGAUAGCACGCUACCUGCUUCAUUUAUUUUAUUUAGAAAUAAACUUAGCUAGAAAUGUGAAUCAACUAGAAUUCGAACUUGAGACCUCGGGUACCAACCACCAAGCCCUUUGCCACUUGCUCUAGGGACGGUCGGUAGCAGACUUAAGAUUUUAGAUUGGAUAAGUUUUAUUAUAUAUGUGACAUUCUUAAAUAUGUGGAUUUAGGCUAGGCAAGAACACUUUUCAUAUAAGGUAAGUCACCAACUUUAUAUGGGAUUGUUUGUUUUGCCGAAACUGGAUUUUGGGUUGAAAUAAAGUUCAGUGGAAACUACUUCUCUUCUGCUAUUUAUUUCAUAACUAUGAAAGUGAAAUUUCUUUAGUUUUACUAUUUGUUUGGCAAAAAGUGAAUAUUAUAAAACUAUAAUUUAUAUAUAAAUAAUAAAUAACUUAAUAAAUAAUAAAUUAUAAUAUAAUAAAUAAAUAUAAUAUAAUUACAUUCCUAUGUAAUUAAAAAAAAUAAUCAAAAACAACUAAAUUAUUUUUAUACAUUAAAUUAUAAUAAUACAAUAAUAAAAUUAUAAAGUAAAACAAA